rnacentral:rRNA from 1 species
GAUGAACGCUGGCGGCGUGCCUAAUACAUGCAAGUCGAGCGAACAGACGAGGCGCUUGCUGGUUUGACGUUAGCGGCGGACGUGUGAGUAACACGUGUAUAACCUACCUGUCAUACUGGGAAAACUUCGGGAAACCGGCGCUAAUACCGGAGAAUAUAUUGAACCGCAUGGUUGAAUAGUGAAGUACGGCUUUGCGGUCUCGUAUAGAUGGAUACGCGCCGCAUUAGCUAGUUGGUAAGUUACAGGCUUUCCAAGGCGAUCAUGCGUAGCCCACGUGAGAGGGUGAUCGGCCACACGAGAACUGAGACACGCUCCAGACUCCUACGGGAGGCAGCAGUAGCGAAUCUUACGCAAUAGGCGGAAGCAUGACGGAACGGCGCCGCGUGAGUGAUGAAAGUGCUCCGAGCGUAAAAAUCUGUUAUGAGGGAAGAACAAAUGUGUAAGUAGCUAUGCACGUCUUGACGGUACCUAGUCAGAAAGCCACGGCUAACUACGUG